rnacentral:rRNA from 1 species
UACGAAGGGGGCUAGCGUUGUUCGGAUUUACUGGGCGUAAAGCGCACGUAGGCGGAUUGUUAAGUCGGGGGUGAAAUCCUGGAGCUCAACUCCAGAACUGCCUUCGAUACUGGCAAUCUCGAGUCCGGAAGAGGUAAGUGGAACUCCUAGUGUAGAGGUGGAAUUCGUAGAUAUUAGGAAGAACACCAGUGGCGAAGGCGGCUUACUGGUCCGGUACUGACGCUGAGGAGCGAAAGCGUGGGUAGCAAACAGG